rnacentral:misc_RNA from 1 species
AGAAUGCCAAGCCAGUUAAUACACCACUUGCAGCCCAUUUCAAGUUGAGCAAGCGUUGUUGUCCUACAACCGAGAAAGAAAAGGAAAGUAUGUCUCAUAUUCCUUACUCCUCUGUUGUUGGUUCAUUGAUGUAUGCCAUGGUGUGUACAAGACCGGAUAUAGCACAUGCUGUUGGAUUGGUUAGCAGAUACUUGGCAAAUCCGAG